GUAAACAUUGUACAGAGAUAUUGUUUGGCUUUUAUAGCCUUUUACAUUGUAUUUUGAUUGUAUUUUGUUGUCUUGCACUAUCUGUUGCGUGCUCCUGCUUUUUUUCUAUCAUUUUUUUUGCAGGCGUUGAUGAAGCUAGUAGCGGUGGGUGGCGAUGGGACAAAACGAAUGAUGAUGGAAGAGGGAUGGGCGCGGCGCUAGGCUUGGCUAGGGUUUCCAUUUUCUGAAACCCUUGACUGGGUUCUGGG
rnacentral:lncRNA from 1 species